rnacentral:rRNA from 1 species
UUGCUUUCAGGUAAAAUUUAAAGUAGGACCUGCCCCCUGAGUUAAAGGGCCGCGGUAUUUUGACCGUGCAAAGGUAGCAUAAUCAUUAGUUUUUUAAUUGAAGACUGGCAUGAAGGGUUUAACGAGGAAUUAGCUGUCUCUUUUUAUUUCAGGGAACUUUAUUUUAUAGUGAAAAAGCUAUAAUAAAUUAAAAAGACGAGAAGACCCUAUAGAGUUUUACAAGGUGAGGGUUUGUAGGUUUAGAAAAGGUUGGUUUAAGCAUGAACUUGUUUUGUUGGGGUGACAGUGGAAUAAAUAAACUUUUAUUAGGUAGACACUUGUAAGUGGUGUAUUGGAUCCAUUGUAUGAAUAAAGAUUAAAUUACCUUAGGGAUAACAGCGUAAUCUUUUUGGAGAGCUCAAAUCGAUAAAAAGGGUUGCGACCUCGAUGUUGGAUUAGAAUAAGUUUUUAGGGCAGCAUUUAAAAAUUUAGGUCUGUUCGACCAUGGAAUUUCUA